UUGGAGGGCAAGUCUGGUGCCAGCAGCCGCGGUAAUUCCAGCUCCAAUAGCGUAUAUUAAAGUUGUUGCAGUUAAAAAGCUCGUAGUUGAAUUUCGGGAUCGACGGGUCGGUCGCGCCUCUGGUGUGUACUGGCCCUGUCGGUUUCUCCCUUCUGACGAACCACGAUGUCAUUAAUUUGGUGUCGUGGGAAAUCAGGACUGUUACUUUGAAAAAAUUAGAGUGUUUAAAGCAGGCAUUCGCUUGAAUACAUUAGCAUGGAAUAAUGAAAUAGGACGUUUGAUCUUAUUUUGUUGGUUUCUAAGAUCGACGUAAUGAUUAAUAGGGAUAGUUGGGGGCAUUAGUAUUCAAUUGUCAGAGGUGAAAUUCUUGGAUUUAUUGAAGACUAACUACCGCGAAAGCAUUUGCCAAGGAUGUUUUCAUUAAUCAAGAACGAAAGUUAGGGGAUCGAAGACGAUCAGAUACCGUCGUAGUCUUAACCAUAAACUAUGCCGACUAGGGAUCGGAUGAUGUUAAUUUUUUAAUGACUCAUUCGGCGCCUUACGGGAAAC
rnacentral:rRNA from 2 species